GAUAAACGCUAGCGGCAGGCCUAACACAUGCAAGUCGAGGGGCAUCAGGGAACUAGUUUACUAGUUUUGCUGGCGACCGGCGGACGGGUGCGUAACGCGUAUGCAACCUACCUAUAACAGGGGGAUAAUUCGGAGAAAUCUGGUCUAAUACCCCAUAAUAUUUUGAUUGGCAUCGAUUGAAGUUGAAAACUCCGGUGGUUAUAGAUGGGCAUGCGUUGUAUUAGCUAGUUGGUGAGGUAACGGCUCACCAAGGCAACGAUACAUAGGGGGACUGAGAGGUUUACCCCCCACACUGGUACUGAGACACGGACCAGACUCCUACGGGAGGCAGCAGUGAGGAAUAUUGGUCAAUGGACGCAAGUCUGAACCAGCCAUGCCGCGUGCAGGAAGACGGCUCUACGAGUUGUAAACUGCUUUUGUACGAGGGUAAACGUAGGUACGUGUACCUACCUGAAAGUAUCGUACGAAUAAGGAUCGGCUAACUCCGUGCCAGCAGCCGCAGUAAUAC
rnacentral:rRNA from 1 species